rnacentral:tRNA from 2 species
GCGAAAGUGGCGGAAUUGGUAGACGCGCUGGUUUUAGGUGCCAGUGGGCUAGCCCCUUGAGGGUUCGAGUCCCUCCUUUCGCACCA